rnacentral:rRNA from 1 species
GAUCAUGGCUCAGGAUGAACGCUAGCGGCAGGCUUAACACAUGCAAGUCGAGGGGCAGCGGGAUGUAGCAAUACAUUGCCGGCGACCGGCGGAUGGGUGCGUAACGCGUAUGCAACCUACCUUAUACAGGGGAAUAACCUUUCGAAAGGGAGACUAACACCCCAUGGUAUUGAUUUAAGGCAUCUUAGAUUAAUUAAAUAUUUAUAGGUAUAAGAUGGGCAUGCGUAUGAUUAGCUAGUUGGUAAGGUAACGGCUUACCAAGGCGACGAUCAUUAGGGGUUCUGAGAGGAAGGUCCCCCACACUGGUACUGAGACACGGACCAGACUCCUACGGGAGGCAGCAGUGAGGAAUAUUGGUCAAUGGGCGCAAGCCUGAACCAGCCAUGCCGCGUGCAGGAAGACGGCCUUAUGGGUUGUAAACUGCUUUUACAUAAGACUAACCGUAUAUUUGCGAAUAUACCUGAAUGUAUUAUGAGAAUAAGGAUCGGCUAACUCCGUGCCAGCCGCCGC